CUGGAUGCCGCCCUCGUAGAGCUUGAUGAUGUCCUUGAAGGAGUUGAACUCGCCGGGCGACAGGUCGACGUAGGUGCGGAUCGCCGGGAUGACGGCGUUCACGAGCGCCUUGAUCGCGUAGCCGUAGAAGUCCGACUUCUUGAUGUGGCCGAAACGCUCGUCGCGCGGCACGUAGACGUCGCCCUCGACCACCGUCAGCCUUCUCUCGCUGUUGGGGUCUGUCGUCGUCGUGUCAUCAUCAAAAUUAAGUUAAAAUUGCUGCCGGCCGGCGUCCGUAGGUUAAAAUUAACUUAAAAACGGGGAAGAAAACGAAGGAAAGGGAUCGGAGGACACGCACCGGUUCUGGUGGGUUUCCGCCCGGUGCGGCAGCGGCGCGGGUAGGGGAGCUCCUUGUUGCCGCCGAGGACGGGCCGCGGGUUGCCGCUGUCAGGCAGGCCGAGGUCGUUGUAGACGUCGUAGCGGUAGACGCGGUCAUGCUCCUUGUACGGGCCUUGCUGGUCGUCGCCCCUCAGGUUCCGGAGCUCGUCGUCGCGGUAAGGCUUGAGCGCCGCCGGCAUCUGGCUGGGCAGGUACGUCUGUUCGUGCAGAGAGGAGAGAAUUCAUGUCAAGAGACUCUGCUCAGAUCCUUGGUUUGCUGACGAACAUUGGAAUAAUGGGCGGCGCGCUACUCACGUCGUUGGAGAAGAAGACGCGGUUGUAGCGGUACUUGGACUGCGGGUAGAUCCAUGAGUUGGCGACGAAGACGACGGUGCCGUGGCCGGGGACGUCGUCGAGGGUGAUGGUCUUGAGGAAGAACUCGGAGGCGUGGUUGUUCUUGACGAUGAUGGCGCCUGGAAUGCCCUGCUUCUCCACCUCCCAGUCGAAGGUGACGUGGAACUUGUUCUCGCCGGACAGAAGCGGCGGCGGGUUCAGCAGCCACUUCUCCAGGCUCGCCUCCGCGCCCACCUUCCCGCGGUUGCCAUUGUCUGCACGCGCGCGCCACAGUACCAUGGAUUCAGAGUCCCACAGACGACCAACGUGUAAAAUGUGCGCUCCUAAUAUGUUAAUAAAAAGCAUUAUCCGAUCUUUUUUUUGCCUAGAUCCGGUUUACUAUACUAAUAAGUAGAUUUAAAGUGGAUUGAUCUUCGUUUUCGUCAUAUUAUAUUGUUUUUGAAAACGACAUUUUUUUUCACUCUGUUGUUAGUUGUUACUGAUGCAUGCAAGAGAACUGAGAGGGAGAGAAUUAAGGAAGUCCGGCAGGGGAGGGAGGGUGCUGUCUGUGCUCACUGGGGUCGACGACGGUGGAGCUGAUAAGCUGGCAGGUGACGCCGCGUCCGAGGAACUCGCCAACGCCGUCGAGGAGGGAGCCGGCGAUGCUGGUGACGUCCAAGCCGAGCACGGUCUUGCGCACGAGCACCACGUUGCCCUUGAGCUGCGCAUGCUUGUUGCUGCCCGUGAUGUCUCCGAUUAUCUUUCCGAUCAUCUUCGGUUCUACCGGCGGAGCUAACUGCAAACUGCUACUUGUUCCUUGGAGUGGGAGUGGCUAGCAGCUGUGGGUAUUGGCUGUGUGAUGAGUGUGAGUGAGUGAUGGCUGAGCGGGCAGGCCAGCUAUUUAUAGAGCGGGAGACACAGCUGGUGGCUCAGGAAGAUAUAUUGAAGUCGUCGACUGUUAUUAGAAACAAAACGUGUAUCACGUUGCCGUGUUUGAACUACUCCGAUCCCACGGUAAAACAUAUAUACUUUCAUCAGAGAAAGUUAUGUUUUUGUAAAGCUUGACCAAUGUUUAGUAAAAGUAUUUGAGUUUGAGACUUAUAACUUGGAUCAAUAGAUCUGUGUUCGAAUGCCUUUAAAGUAAUAUUGGUUUUCUUUAGCAAUUGAUGAUAUAAUAAGAGAAAUUAAGGGUCGAAAUAUAUGUCAUUUCACUUUUGCAUGUCUAGUACAAACACAUAGUGGAUGUUGGUGAAACUUGUAAGACUAUCCCCACACAAAUAGCACAGAUGACUAGUUUCUUUCCAUUACAAUAUUCAGGUUUUUCUUGAAAAUAUUUUUCAUUUAUAGUUUUUUUGUUUCAUUGUAUCAUUUCUGUACAUACACCUGUUGCGUCUAUGGGCAUGAACUAUGUACAGAUAUCAUUGAUCAAUACCUUGGCUUAAACUUAUUAUCAUCUCUCUUAUCUUCCAUUUCUUCUCACUCCAGUCACAUGGCUAUACAAUUUCUAUCAAAGCCAAAUUAAGGUACUUGAUAAAACCAUGACUUAAGUCUUCUUGGCCCUCUUCUAAAUGUAAUUUUUGAACUAUCUUGUGCGUUUUUAUUAUGGAGUCAUGGUUACCUUUUUUUUUCGCGAUGCAACUCUGUCUAUUGGAGCCAGUACUACCUCAAGUAGUUGCAGACCAACCCUUUCAUUGCGCCAACAUCCAUCCGUGCCUCAAGUCUCUCCCCCCCCCCCCCCCCCCCCAAAAAAAAAAACCGUUGAACAAUCAUUGGUGAUCUACUGAGAUCAGGCAUGUAGCAUGUUACCCAUGCGCACUCUACAAGUCAUCGGAAAUGAUAUGACCACACCAUAUUUGUUUUCACUUAGGCCCUGUUUAGUUCUCCACCCAAAAAUUUUUCAUCCAUCCCAUCGAAUCUUUAGACACAUGCAUGGAACAUUAAAUGUAGAUAAAAAAAUAAACUAAUAACACAGUUUAGUUGAGAAUCGCGAGACGAAUCUUUUAAGCCUAGUUACUCCAUGAUUAGCCUUAAGUGCUACAGUAACCCACAUAUGCUAAUGAUAGAUUAAUUAUGCUUAAUAAAUUUGUCUUGCAGUUUCCUGACGAGCUAUGUAAUUUGUUUUUUUAUUAGUCUGUAAAAACCCCUCCCGACAUCCUUCCGACAUAUCCGAUGUGACAUUCAAAAAAUUUUCGUUCCCAAUCUAAACAGGCCCUUAUGACAACGUCUUGAGAAGAAAAAAAAGCUAAACGAUUUCUAUUGCGUUCCUCACGAGCUUCUCAUGCAUGAGUACGGAGGAGUAGUCAUAAUAUACAAGUAGGCGUUUGUCUUGUUAAAGUUUACUACUCGUCAUAUCGAAUGUUUGGACAUAUACAUGGAGUAUUAAAUAUAAACUAUUUACAAAAUUAAAAAGACAGCUGAAGAGUAAUUUGAGAGACGGAUCUUUUAACCCUAAUUAGUUCAUGAUUGAAUACUAAUUAUCAAAUAAGACAAAACUGCUACAGUACAUGUUAAACUUUAACAUCCCAACAAAACACCCCCUAGACCUAUUUCUCUCCAAGGUGACUGCCAUGAAAGUUAUCAGAUUGAAACAAUGAUGGUUGGAAUCGAUAAUUUGUUCGGUUAUUUUCAUUUCUAACAAUGCCAAUACUGAUGUAAAACUUAGUGGGUGUUUGGUUGAGUUGUUAAAGUUAACAGGUACUGUAACACUUUUAUGUUAUUUGACAAUUAGUGUCCAAUCAUGAACUAAUUAGGCUCAAAAGAUUCGUCCUGCAAAUUACUCUCUAGCUGUGUUUUUAGUUUCGUAAAUAGUCUAUAUUUAGUACUUCAUACAUAUAUUCAAAUAUUCAAUGUGACGGACGAUAAACUUUACCGUCUAUAACCAAACAAGCCCUUAUCAUUAGAAAGACUUGGAAAGAGCGACUCGGCGAGUAGACAUGUCGAGAUAGCAAUGCAUAGAACACCAGAUGUGGUGGAAGGUAAUGGGGGAGUGACAUGGGGAUUUAAAAUGCUUAAAAAAAAUCCUUGGCGUAUUAGUGUGUGACUUGGAUAGCUCACAUGCAUAUAUGCAAUCCUUCCCUUGGAUGAUCCUUGUAGUUUUCUUGUCUUUAUUUAUUGCCGUGACAAAAGUCCACAGUUUUAACUAAUUGAACUGUAAACUACUAUCUCUUUUCAAACCGCAUAAAUAACACAUAUAGAUACCUUAUUUUUGUUACAAUAUUUAAAUUGUUUACUUGAAAAUAAUUUGUUUUAGAUCAUUUUGUUUCUUUAUCUGUGUGUAUUGCUUCUUUCAUCAUGUGACCCCUCUCUUGUAUCCAUCAGCAAAAACCUCACAUGCCAUCGUUAAUCAAUUUUUUUUUGGUUAAAACUAGUCGACUUUCUCUCACCUUUUUUUAAUUCCUAUCUCAGUUUAUGUACUUCCAUCAAAUCAAGGUAACCUUUUGGAAACAAGCUUUAAGUUUUUUUUGGUAAACUUUAUUUUUUUAAUAAUUACAUUAUGUAGACCUCUUAUAAAUUAUUUACUUUCACCAUGUUUCUAAAGAAAGUCGUUUUGAGAUUGUCCUCGAGCAAGGGCACGUCGCCGGUGCCGCGGCUGUCCCACCUAUGGCAGUCCUCGAGCGAGUUCUGCGGCUCAUGGGCGUCGGCGGCACAACACCGUGCCUCGACGGUGGGGGCGCGGCGUUCAACUCCUCUGCCCGACACUGCUUCCGUGAACUCGCGCACGGUCACCAUUAGCUCCGGCGCCAGCUUGGCACCUACGGCCACCUCCGAGAAUCUUGUCGAACAUAGCUCGAAAGUUGGCGUCCUCGUCUACCUCGCCUCUGAGGUAAACAACAUCAUAAUCUGUGUUUACAAUUAAACUAUUGUGUUGAUUUUUUCAAAGAAAAAAACAUUGUGUUUGAAUCUAAUCUUCCAAUGGUGUAUUGAUUAAUUUCAGGUGCUGAUUCACUUUGCUUCCUUUUUGCUCGUUUGGAACGCUGCCAGGGACAACAAGAAGACGCGCAUCAUUCCCCACCACGGCGCCACGUGCUGGCGUGCUGCUGGCAAUCCAGUGAUCCACAAUGGCCCUGUUUGGAUACUCUAGCUCGGCUAGAAGUUAGAGUUAGUUUCUAGCUCAAGACUAGCCUUAAACUAGCUCUAGCCGAAGACAUGUUUGGAUGCAAGGGUUAGAAUGACAAUAUCUAAUCAUUUGACUCAUUUAAACCAUCUUUCUAUUCGGAUUUGGUGUGGCAGGCUCUCGUGUGGCCUCCCCCGCUUACAAAUGACACAAAUAAAUUAUUUUUACAAAUCAAGCAUCGAAACCAUAUUAAAUUUUAAAUUGUCCAUACAAAUGACAUGUCUCACACGAACUUACAAGUCCUCAAUCAAGUUAAACAAAAAAUUUUACACUCCAUGAAACAAAGCAUGAGCUAAUUCAUCACGGAAGGCAUUCAUGUUGACAUCUUCAAUAAGAGGUUCAUCUUCUGGCCAUGUUGAUGCCGCAGAACUAGGCAUUGGGUUAUAAUUUUCAUCCGCAUCACAGGCAGCAAAUUCUCUAUCCGCAAUUCUGCUCUCUCGAAUAAAAUUAUGAAUAGCCAUACAAGCAACAAUAAUUCUAGUUUGCUUCUCUUCUGAAAAUCUUGGCAUGUUCAACAUAAUCCUAAAUUUCAUCUUGAACACUCCAAAAGUUCGCUCAAUGACAUUUCUAACUUUGGCAUGUGCAUGGUUGAAGAUUUCUUUCAUACCUUGUUGAAAGGUCCUUGUUUAGUUUUGGUAAUUGAGUGACAACUUAGGUGGACUAAUAGUGUUUAUGUGAGAUACACAGGAGAUUAGUCCACAGGUGAUUUUGUGAUGAUGGAGGAGCUCAUUGCAUAUGAGACAUGACAUGGAGUCAUGUGACCGAGGUGGAGAAGAUCAAGAUGAGGCUUGGCUCGAUGGACCGGUUGCAAGAGUGAAGGGCAAGUCGGAGGCUUUGAAGCGAGGGACCGCGUGUGACGGUGAAGCUUGAGCAAGACUUGGCGCCGAUGGACCAAGGCAACGGUGAAGAGCAAGUGAGGUCAAGAUCGAUGAACCAAUACGGUCACGUGAUGAUAUGAAGUGGAUCAUAUCAUUUGGUGAUUGGUUGGUGCAUGUGUUGCAUCAACAUUAGAGGAGAUGGAAUGGAAAGCGCAAGGCAAAGGUAUAACCUAGGGCAUUUCCAUUUUACCGGUCAUAGGUGUGUAGAGAAGUUUAUGACCGGAUUUAGGAUAGAUGGCCGUACUAUCAAGAGGGGCAAACUUGUUUGCAUAUCGGUCAUCUAGUGCCACUUGAGCGAUCUAACUUUGCAUACGUGUUAGGAUCGAGUGGCGUGGCAAGUUGAGAGGCUAACUCCUUUGGGAAAUUGUUUGUGAAAAUGCUAACACACAUGCACAUGGUGGUGUACACUUGGUGGUGUUGGCACACUUUACAAAGGAGGUGGAGUUCCUAGGGUUGAGAGGCGUGUGGGUUCCUCUCUCCCUCCCGCCGAGCUUGCUCGGCGGGAUUCGACGCUUUUGAGAAAAUAAAGUGUAUAUUUUCUAUUGCGCCGGUGGGAAUUUUGGUGAAGUCGCGGGAGUGUUUUUCUCUCCGAGAAACACUCAACGGACGCUGAGUGCGGAGGCACCGGACGCUGGCCUCAGCGUCCGGUGUGCUUGACCCUGCUAGGGUUAAGCACCGGACGCACUCUGAGAGCGUCCGGUGGUAAGCGUCCGGUGUGAGGGGUUUUUGCAACCCUCUCUGCGCACGAGUCCGGUGAGCACCGGACCGUCCGGUGCCCAGCGUCCGGUGAGGUCGCGAGUUUGACACCUUCUCUGCGCACGAGUCCGGUGAGCACCGGACCGUCCGGUGUGGACUAGUUGAGCGUCCGGUGGUGCUGUGUCAGGCGCGAGCACGAGGUAGCCGUUGGCGGCAACGGUCGAGUUCAAACGGCUAGUGACACGUGGCAGUUAGCUGAGCACCGGACGCUGGGUGUUGAGCGUCCGGUGGCCACGUUUUUCGCCCAGUGAAGGGGCAACGGCUAGUUUCGCCCUUGGGGCUAUAAAUAGAAGUGGUGGCCGGCCUUGGCCGGUGCUGAGCACCCUUGGGACUUAGUGUCCAUGCUUGGGGAGUGCUAGGAAAGCCUCUAACUCACUUGUGCUUGCAAGAGUGCGAAUCAAUAGCGAGUGAGUGAUUCUAGUGCGUUGCAUUGAGAGAUUGCAUCGAGUGGCACUAGGUGUUCGUGUUGCAAGCCGGUGGUGCUUGUUACUCUUGGAGGUUGCCACCUCCUAGACGGCUUGGUGGCUUGUGACUCCGUCGAAGCAUGCAAGAAGAUUGUGCGGUGCUCCGGAGAAGAGAUUGUGAGGGGUACGGUGCUCACCCCGCGGGGAUCGCGAAGAGCAACUCUAGUUGAGCGAGACGUGAAGAGCGACAAGUGGUCCGGCCGGGUCAAGUGCUAGAGCUUGUGGUAAGCACUCCACGUGGGAGAGUGUGACUUGCGGGUCACCACUAGCAAGAGGACCGGCGGCAACCUUGGAGCUUGUCUCAACGGGGACGUAGCUUGGUGGCAACCAAGUGAACCUCGGGAGAAAAUCAUCGUGUCAACUUUGUUCUUCCCGUUGGUUUGCAAGUCCCUAACACAAGCUUGUAUUUACAUUCAUAUAUUUGUGCUUGUGUAGUUGCUCUUGUAAUUAGUUAGCUUGUGUAGCUUUCUAGGUACCUUCUUGCUUGUGUAGCUAGAAGUAGUUCCCCUUGCGUGACUAAUUUGGUUUGUGUAAUCUUGUUAGUCACAUUGCUUGGUUUGUGUAGCUAAGUAAGUUGCGCUCUCUAAUUUGGCAUUAGUUGCCUUGUUAUUGAGCUUGCUAGUGAGCUUAGGCUUUGUGCGAUUUGCCUCACUAGUUUGUGUAGGAGCUCCCCCGGUUUGCAAAGUACUAGUUGCAUAGGUUUGUGUGACCUUGCUCCUAGAAUUGAUUAGGUGAGCUCUUGCUAAGGUAGCACCUUGCUUGCUUGUUUAGGAUCUUUUCAAGGUGCUAGAGAACUUAGAUAGAGGGGUGUAGUCUUGGCUAGACCGAUAGCUUUAAUUCCGCAUUUGUUUCGGUUAGCCGGCGCGAUAAGUUUUAGAAAGGACUAUUCACCCCCCCCCCCCUCUAGUCCGCCAUCUCGACCCUUCACUUGUGGCGGUGGGCCAUUUCUCCAUUGCUCCACAUGGUACCUUGUACAUCUGUAUGGUGAAAGGUAGCCCGACCGGUUUGGGUACCCUGCAUCAACCACAUAAUACUUCCCUACACAUUUUCAAAGGCUCACAGUGAGAUAGAUAAACAAAUGUAAUUAGAUACAAGUUGCAAGACUGUUCAAGUAGCAAACCUGAUGGCGGAUGUGGAAAUUUGUGAUGAUGACUAGUUAUGGCAUCUUUGAAAACUCUCAUGUCGUGUGCUGAACCAGGCCAUCCCGACAACACAAAGGUAAAUCUCAUGUCGAAAUCACAAAUAGCAAGUACAUUCUGACUGGUCUCAUUGUGUCUGUUCAAGUAUGGAAUCCUCUUACUCUUAUCCACCACAACCUUCACAUGUGUCCCAUCUAUAGCUCCUAUGCACUCAUUGAAGUGUGGCUAGAAUGCUGGAUUUUCUAAAUUUGGAUGCACCUCUGAAAAUGUUGGGUCCUUGGGUUUAAUGUUGUGAUGUGCUAACCUAAGGAGACAUCUCAAAACUCUGUUAAAUGUCCUACUUACUGUCUCCAGAGACCUCCUAAAACGAUUAUCAGCCUGUCUAACUGACUGUGGUGCACCAACAAUCCAUAAAAACAUAGCAAGAGCCUCUACAGAUGUCAUUUCCUUAGUGGACUUCAACCCAUACCUCUCAACCAAAGUAUUAUGUAGCCUGUAAAAUAAAGGUCUCUCAACCCUAAACAAGUUGUAACAUUGGGUAUCUCGGGAUAGUGUCUCAUGCACCCAAUCCAAACCAGAAUCCCCAGUGACUCACUUAGGUAGUUUCAUGAAAUAGUUAUCAGAGUACAUACCCAAGAUAUGAACCAACUGCAGAAUCAAAUUUUGUUGCUGCAUCAAAUUGUUGUGGCACAUGGAUAUAAUUUCAUCCUCACUUGAGUUGCCUCCAUCAUCUUGUUCUUCCUCACUUGAGUUCCCUCCAUCAUCUUCUUCCUGCUUGAUUUAUGUAAAAAAAACUAUCAGCACAUACCAUAAAGGUUCAUGGAUAAAUUUAAAUAGGUUCAGCACUUGACAUCAUAGCUCAUGGAUAAAUUCAAGAAAUUAAUACUCCAACACUUGACAUCAUAGCUCAUGGAUGAAUUUAAAUAGGUUCAGCACAUAGCAUAAAGGUUUAUUACACCACAAAGCAAAUAGUUCAACGCCUCACACACAGAUAUAGGUUCAACACAUAACAUAAAGGUUUAUUACAGCACAUAGUUCAACGCCUCACUACUCCAUAUUGUUGUCAGUGCACCAUUUCUUGAAGUAACCCAACCUAAGCUCAGGAGUUAACUGGCCACAAAAGAACUCCCUUUGGUACUCUGUUGCAAACAACUUUGACAUAGCAUACACGUUGUCCACGGUUUUCUCAACGCCACACUCAAAUGCAAGCUCCUGACACAUCUUGACAGAAAAUGCAGCCUUCUCAUUUGCACGUUUCUGUAUUUGCUUAGUGUUCGCUGCAACAGACUCUUUGAAAGUACUGGCUAUCUCCUUCACAAUCUUGACCAUUGGGCUCUUGGUCCUCUUCACUGGACUGGUCAAAGUGCUUGUAGUGCUGCUGAAUGCCCUCUUGCCUUUCUGGCUCCUCUGACUGCUUCUAGUAGUAGGUGUUCCUUCAAACCCUUCCUCUUCAUUUUCUGUUCCUGCAUCUUGGCCCUCAUUGUCACCAUAAUCAUCUCCAGGAACAAAGGCUGUGGUUCCAUCCACAGUGUAGCCUCUGAAUAGUUCAUCAAGCAAAUCCUCGUUUCCUGGAGGGCUGGUCAACAACUUCUUUAGGUAAGGUUUUUUCUGUUAAGAUAUGAGAGCAAAAAAACAUGAUCAGAAACUAGUUCAGUAGAUUUUGCACAAUACACAUUUUACAAGGAAACACUAUACCUCUGUGUGUGUUUGCCAGAAAUCAUGAUCCGCAUCAAUAGAUCCAUCUGGUUUCCUCCCCAACCCUGUGUGCACUUGCAAGUACCGCCAGAAGGCAUGGGUGUUUCUGAGCACGCCUAUUUGGUUCUUCACUUGUCCACGGCUGUACACCAAACCCCUUCUAGCAAGUAAGCCAUCGACAACAGCUUGGUACCCUUCACCACUCAUUUGUGAACCAGUGUACGUUCCUGCUCUGCGUUGCUCUAUACACAAUUCUAACAAGCAAGCAUUAUUUGCAUCAUUCCAUUGGGCUCGACUGGAGUGGCUCACCGGAGGACCGCCGGAGCUCCCUAACUCCUCCCCAUCAUCCUCCAUAGCUGCAUCAUGGUUGAAGAAGGGAGUGCUGGAGGCAGUUGGUUGCCCACGGACGGCGCGAGUGCUCGUUGUGGUGCUCGGUGCCCUCGUUCCUCGGGGGCGAGGUCCGCUGGGGAUGCGUUGGCCGGUGCUGCCACGGGGCACCGUGUUGGCGCGCUGGGGACGCCGGCCUGGUGUUGCGGAGGCCGAGUUGGCGCGCUGCCGAACGACGCCGCCCGCCGAGGUUCCGCAUCCGCGACCGGCUGCCGCCGAGGAGGAGCCACCAAAUUGCAGUUGACGGGCGUAGGGUGCUGCCGGAGUCGCCGUCCUGUCUCCUGCUCCGACGCGUGGUGGGCGAUAUGGAGGGAGCCCGGUGCCCCUGACGCGGACAGGGGUGAGGUCGCUGUCGUCGCGGAGGAUGUCACCGUACAGCUGAAGCCCCGGAAAAUCCUCCUCCGCCGGCACUUGCGAGUUCAGGUCAAAGGCGUCGUGGCUAGACGACCUUCCCGGAACUUGCGAGCACCAGGAGAAGUCGUCUCCGUCCAUGGCGCACUUCUCCUGCAUAGAAGAGGCGACUGUUAGUACGAGCAGAGAGGGCGAGCAGGGUACGCGGCGAGGGCGACCAGGAGGAUGAGCAGAGAUGGCGCGGUCGAACCUCGGCGGGGGAACAGAGCUGCUGGCGGCGGCGACCAAGAAGAGGAUUAGGUUUUCCAGUGGCUGGUGGCGGCGGCCAAGAAGCUCGCGUGCGGCGUGCGGCCAGGAAGGGGAUCAGGUGUGGGCUGGAUGAGAACUAGCCCAAAUAAUCACCCCUUUGGAGGGAUAGUUUUUUUUAUGGGCUAGUUGCAAAAAAAAACUAACUCUAGCCCUCCUGUUUGGCUACUAUGGGCUAGUUGAGCCCAAACUAGCUCUUUCCCUAAGAUCCAAACAGGGCCAAUGACGAGGAGCUAGGGAAGCUGCUGGCCAGCGUCACCAUCGUGUACGGCGUGCUGGUGCCCAAGAAGAUGGAGAAAGGUGGUGGCGUCGGUGAUGGUUGUGGCCGUGUGAGCAGCUGUGAACGCGGUGGCAGAGCUCGAGCACGGCAAUGGCGAGUCGAGUGCGACGGCCUCACAGAGUAGCGUGGAGCGCCACCGCAGGCGGCACCGUGGCCGCGGCCGCGAGUCCCCGGUCACGCUCAUGGCUGACCACGAUGCGCUCCUCCGUUGAGGCAAAGCGCGCGGCCGCGGGCGCUCCGCCUCGCGUACACGCCGUGUAUUCCUGUACGCAUACGUGGCUUACAGCAGGGCCAUAUACACAAGAGGAGUAGAAAAUAGUAUAUGGAUUGAAGGAAAUAUAAAACUAUAAUAGCAUUUUUUUAAACAGUAUUCCUAUGUGUCAACCGCCGGUUAAUUUGGGAACGUCUCUCAACUGUUUUUUAGCCGUCGGAUGGCGUCUGAUCCGUUUACUCGAGCGAACCGCGUAGUUCCAAGAAUCUUGAGGGAGAUGGCGUUUACAAUUUGGGAUGGCGGAGUUUUUUUUUUUUUAACCGUGUCUAUGUCAAAACGAUAUUUUGAGGGAGUUGUUCCCUGGCCAACUAAAACACCUUUUGUCGUUUUAGAUAACGCCAGAUUGAACGUGUUCAUGUCCAUCGUGCGCAGAUGAUAAUCACCUCCACCUACCGGCGCGAGCAGUAGCCAGUUCGUGUUCCACGGACCACGAGUACGUGGCUACGCGCUGCCGCUGCAUGGCCUGGAACUGUAGCCCAUACUGAUCAAUCAAUGAAUUAGCAAGUGGCUCGAUAAAUUACUCCAUCCCUACUCGAAUAAUUCCAUAAUUUUAGAGUUAGCGUAAGUUAAACAUUUUUCAUUUCAAUCAAAUUUAUAUAAAAGGUUCCUAAGACUUACUCCCUCCAAUCCUAAAUAUCUGUCGCUAUUAGUGUGAGUAUCACAAGUUUAACUCGAUUGGUAAAAAAUACGUACAAUAUUUAUAUAUUUAAAUAAAUUUAUUAAAAACUAGAUUUAAAGAUCUUUUAAAUGCUAUUAAUUAUGUACCAUACUCCCUCCGUCUCUGAAUACUGCUUUUUCUAGGAGAAAAUUUUGUCCACAUAUACUGCUAUUUCUACUAGCAUACUCGGUCCACCAGCCCAUUUAAUUUCUCCUCGGAACUUUCGUGGUCCACCAACCCAUUUAAUUUCUUCUAGUGAGUAGUACUUUGGUGCAUGUUAAUUGUUUGAGUCUGUUUAGUUGGCAUUAAAUGCAGCUCGUUGGAACCAGAGAACCAUGGCUUAACGUGCAUGAUUAAAUGGUGGAACCCAAAUUAAUUGAGGGUAGAAUGGUCUUCUGAAAUAUGCUAGAAAUAGCAGUAUUUGGGGAUGGAGGCAAUACUAAAUAUUAAUAUUUUUUUAAUAUAUUUAGUCAAGGUUAUUUCUUGAGAAGCGCAAACGAUAGAUAUUUAGGGACAUGGGAAGUAUGAUACGAAAUCAUCAUAAAAUAUAUUUUUUUGUAAUAGGCUUAUUUGGUGCCAUAGAGAUUUGUGCUUGUUUAUAAAUUUGAUCACCAUAAAGCUAGCUUUAUAAACUGAUAUUUAGAGACAAAGGGAGCAUUGCUAACGCUAAAUCCGGUCACACCUAGCAAGGGCAGGUUCACUCACAGCACGCGCCACCGAUAAACGUGGUGGAGGUAGUCGGUCGGGUUUCACCAGGAUGUCAUGCAUAUUUAUUAUAACGUAAUGUCACCAAAAUUGCACUUUUUGCAUGAAACAAAGAGGAGAGAGAAGGAAGUAGUUUCACCAAUCACCAUGGUGAAACUCCGCAGGCGUUGUUUCCCACGCGGUGAAAUGAGAUGAAAUCUCCACUGAGGGCUAAAUCGUUUCACCAUCUUGCAUGUGAUCUAAUCAUUUUGCAGUAAUUAAUGCUUUGCCCAGCCUAGGAAACGUCAAGGUAAAACUCAUGCAUUGUGGAGGUUGUUUCAUUAUUCGUUUUAUUGAUGUCUUGUCAGUGGAUUUGUUUUGGAAACAGUGCAUUGAAACGAGCCACUGAGAAUGGCCUAAACUAACAAGGCCGUCUAGAGGUCGGUGAGGCCAAUUUGACACCAUUUUUUUGUCAAGGCCUAGUUUAGAUUUAAAUUUUUUUUGGAUUUUAACACUAUAGCACUUUUGUUUGUAUUUAACAAUUAUUGUCCAACUAUGAACUAACUAGACUCAAAAGAUUUCUCUCGCACUUUCUAACCUAACUAUGAAUUAGUUAUUUUUUUAAUCUAUAUUUAGUGCUCCAUAUAUGUGCCGCAAGAUUCAUGUGACGGGAAAUCUUGAAAAGUUUUUGAAGACUUCCCCGUCACAUCGAAUCUUGCGGCACAUGCAUGAGCAUUAAAUAUAGAUAAAAAUAAAAAUUAAUUGCACAGUUUGUCUGUAAAUCACGAGACGAAUCUUUUAAGUCUAGUUACUCUAUGAUUAGACAAUAUUUGUCAAAUAAAAACGAAAGUACUAUAAUAUUGUCAAAAUUAAAAAAAAAGAUCUAAAUGAGGCCUAAAAACAUGAUGGGGAGCGAGGUCGUCACCAAUAAGAUAAGAUUCGCGCGUCAUUAUUGUAUUAUUAUAGUGUACUGUACUUCCACUUCCAUACUUCCCCUUCCAGUAGUACUCUCUCCUUAUACGAUUUAAAUGUCAUUUAGAACAUUGACAUGGUCUUCAAAACAUAACUCUAAUCUCUUAUUUUUAUAAAAAUAUUUAGGAACAAAUAAUAUAGGUAUACUUUUAUAAAAAUAUUUUUCAAGAUAAAUCUAUUUAUAUAAUUUUUACAUUUGCAAACUCAAAAAUUUAAAAGUUAUUGAUGAAUUUGACUCAAACUUUGUCUAAAACGAUAUCUAAAUCCUAUAUAUAGAAGAAGUACGUAGUAGCUUACCUGAAGAUAUCAUUGUUGUCAGGCGGAAAUAAUUAACGACCUAGCAGUGGGUCUUGAUUACGUGCUUAAUUUAUAAGCACAGACAAAAGACAACCGAUCAGAGCUAGCACAUGCACAUGCAAUCCAUCGUAGAUUGACGUGUUUGGCUAGGUUUUCCCCCCUAAUUUUGUCUUCAUACAUGAUCGAUAUAUAUAAAUAUAUAGGGUUUUUUUGAACGGUGCCAUUACAAUUUCAAAGUAUUUGAAAUAUGCCAUUAUAAUUCAGGUAUCCUGAAGCGGACCAUUACAAUUCUUGCAAAAUUUGAAAUAUGCCAUUGGAUACGGUAGAACGACGCUUGGGCCUGCUUGCAAGCCGACGUGGCAUACGGUCGACCGUAUGCGCCCGUCGCCGUGAGCCAUCUAAACGGCGCGGCAAAAAACGCCGUCUCCACCCCGCCCCUGACUCAUUCUCGCUCUCCACCUCUCUCUCUCUCUCUCGAGCGUAACCCUAGGCGCGGCGGCGGCGGCGAUUCCGGUGCCACGAUCCCGACGGCGGCGCAGCAGAUGAAGAUGGCCUCGAGCUCUUCCGCUGCUGGCAGUAGAAGGGUGCAGUGCCCCCUACUGAACUGCCCAGUGUGCAAUGUUCCUUUGAUCCGAAUCGUGAGCAAGCAAGAGCACUCAAAGGAUGUCGCAUUCAUCAAGUGCCCAAACAACGUAAAGGUAACGAUUUGCAUUGUUUAUGCCCUUGAAUGUGCUGCCUUUGUUUUCAAUUUGACUGGUGUUGCUUGCACAGGGUGAUCCAACAACUUGUGGCUGGAUUCGUUCGGAGGAGCAGUACGAGGCAUGGUUUAUGAAGCAAAAGGAGAAAGAGAUUCAGCUGCAGUUGCCCCUUCAUUCAGCAGUUGGGGAUCCUAAUGAUGAUUUGAAUCAACGGGUCAAGGAGAUGAAGCAAACUCUAGAUAGAGUUGUCAAUGAACUUGAGAAAAUGAAGGUGCAACUUGGAGACAGAGAUGUUGUUGCUGUUCCUAGUCAAGUUAGUAAUCAGAGUCCAGCACUGGACUUGGACAGGAAGGGGAAAAUGCAAAUUGUGUUGGAUGUAUCUGUUGUUGUAGGUGUCCUUGUGGGUGUACUGCUAGGUGUAGGUUUUUCUCAGAUGAUGAAGUGACUGUAAUUAUGUGUAUUUGCAAUGAAAGAACAAGCAUUUUGUCACUGAGUUUCUUCGAUGAGUAUGAUCAGCAUUGUCCUAUGCCUUUUGUCACUGAAAAUAGAUUAGAAUUUCAGCUUCAAAAUAGAUUAGGAUUUCUGCAGCAGUUUGUCUUGUUUUCUUAACAUUUUAAGUAGAGUUCACAUGAUAAUUGACACAAGACAGAAGAGUACAAACUAACAUAAGUAGAGUUCACAUGAUUGAAAAUAGUUGGCAAGUUCUAAUGCCUCAUUACAUAGUAGCAGCAUCAGCCAUACAAGUUCCAAGUUGGCAUUCUAAUGCCUCAUUACAUAGUAAGGUUCAGAACAAAGCCAUAUAAGUCGAGCAUCAUAGAUCAGCAUCCUGUGGAGCAUCAUAGAUCAGGUGCCUGAUGCUGCUGAUAACAGCCUUCCCAGGUGCAGCUGCUUCCCUCUGCAGCUUUGUUUUCUUUGGUGUCUUCUUCUUCUUCUUAGUUGUAACCUUCUUCAGAGGCUUGGUCUUCUUCACCUGGGAAGGUCCAGCAUCAUCCUGUGUUGGUACUUCCUGCGUUGGAGCUUCCUGUGAUGACACUUGCUGAGUCGGCCUCUUUCUGCGUUGAGAUGACAGUAGCCGGUUAGAUCUUAGUACAUAGGAAAAAAAUAAUAAAAUGGUUAGACAAUAUUUUUAAUACCUUUUUGAAGACCCUUGUCCUCUUUCUCCAUCUUCACCUAGUUCUGGCAACUUGCAGGUCUUGGAAAAAUGUCCAAAGUCACCACAUCUCUUGCACCUAACUUUCUUCUUCGUGGCCCUCUGCUCAAAAGUCCCUCUAAUUCUUACAACCCUUGGCCUUCCUGGACCUCUGCCUAGCAAUGAAGGAUACACUUUAAAACCAAGGUUGACAACAGGCCAUUCAUCGUUGUCUGGGAUAGGCUCAAUCCUAUCAGCAUAAGCUGCCUUAAAUCUAGCAACUGAAUAGUACUCAUGUACAUAAUCCUCAAUUCUCAUCCCUGGGAUUGACAGUAUCCAAGCCAAAGCAUGCUUACAUGGCUUUCCAGUCACUUGCCACUGCCUGCAGGAACAAUUGUGGUUUCCUAGGUCCACAGUGUGCCUCCUUUGCUUCUCCCACUCCAGGAUUGUAACUUCAGCAGUGUUAUCAUCACUGACUUUGACCUUGACUACAUUGAGUUGAGUACUGAUCAGGUUGAGAUCCUUCAUCACAUUUGGGAGGAUUCCAUCUUCCCACUGCCUAGCAACUUUCUUCCUCAAAUAUCUCUUCUCCAUUAUAAGCUCUCUAAUUCUGUCUACCAGUUCAUGUAAUAAUAAACCUUUGAGGUGCUUCACCUGUGCAUUGAAGCUUUAUGACACAUUGUUGGUCAAAUAAUCACACUUGCUACUUUCUGAGAACCCACACCUGUACCAUAUCCUGCUGUGGUAAUUCUCAAUAUAUUCUAUAGCUUGAGGAGCAUACUCAUGAAUCUGAUUCAUGUGCCACUGGAAUUUUUCUUGAGUGUAACUUCUAGCUGCAGGAUAAAGGUGGUCUGUGAAUACAUCACCAGAAUAGUGCUUCAGAAAGUUUUGGUACAUAUGUCUCAUGCAUUCCCUAUUCUCAGCUGUUGGAAAAGCUGUACCCACUGCAUUCUCCAGGCCUUUGCAUGCAUCUGUACAAACUACAAGAUUUGGGACAGGCCCAAUUGCUCUACUAAGAAGUUGCAAGAACCAUGUCCAAUUGUCUUCAUUUUCUAUGUCAAAAAUGUCAUAAGCUACAUGAUACAACCAAUUAUGUCCAUCUACACUGGUUGCUGAAGCUAGCUGACCUCUAUACUUUCCAUUCAAACAAGAUGCAUCUAUACCCAAAAAAGGCCUACAACCAGCCAAGAAUCCAUCUACACAAGGCUUUAGAGCAACAAACAUUCUUUUGAAUCUGUUCUUCUUACCAAUUUUGUCAACCUCUACCACUACAGUGCUACCAGGAGAUACCUUUUCAAUUUGAGCACCCCAAUUGAAUAGCAGUUGAAAACUUUCCUCAUAUUUACCAUGGAUUUGAUCCAAUGCGCACUGCAUACCUGACCAAGCCUUUGAAUACUUCAGCUUGAUGCCAUAAUCAUCUUCCAACUUCUCCCUGCACUCUUUUGCACGUUUUGUUGGAUGUUUUUUUAUCCAAUCUGCCAGCCUAUCUACACACCAGGACUGUGAUGCCAUCUUCCCUUCUACUAGUUUUUGACUUGCACAAUUAUAAUCUGCAGGCAGUACUUUGAUCUGUGCAUACGAAACAUGUCAGGUAAAAAAAAUAAAACUUGCACAAAGGAACUAGUGGAUAGACAGUUACCUGUAUUGUCUUUCUACCCUACAGCCUAGAUGCAUGUAUGCGCCAAGGACAUCCCUCGGAUUUGCACUUUGCAAUAAAUCUUGAUGGGUCUGUUUUGAUACCAGCUAACACAUAGCCUUUAGUAACGGAGAAAUGCCUGAUAGCUUUCCUGAAUGAAACAAUAUUAGGAAAUAACUCCCCCUUUACAAUCUUGGGAUGUUCUGGGUCAUGAAUGAUAUUGAUCUCUUCAGGGUCUGCAUCAGUGACCUCUGCCUCAACAGGAAAAGCAUCAGCAUCAGCAUUUUCAGCAUCAUGAGAAGCAUGUGGAGGUGAAUUACUAGGAGGCUGUGUUGGUGGUGUUGGCAUGUACAUGCCCUCAUCAUCACAACCCACAUACUCCUCAUCGUUAUCAAACAUAUCAGGUUCCCUAUCAGGCUCAAGUUGAGUCUCAACUUCAGCCUCUGGUGCAACAUCUGCCUCAAAUGUGGGUUGGUUAACAUAACUGUCAGUACUGGCUGGGUUGCCAGUGCUAGUGUCAGGAGGAAGAUCUAGUUCAUCAAAUUGAUCAAUAGUGGGAACAGACUGAUCAAAUACCCCUACGACAAUGUGGCAAUGCAUCUCCUCCUUAUACAUCUCAAACAUAUCAUUAAUCUGGAAUUGAUUUUCUAGCAUGACAUCUUGAGACAACCUUUUAUCAUAGAACCAAGCAACUGGGCACUGAGUAGUAGAGCAAUUGACAGCAUUGCGCAAGCUGGCCAUCAGUACAUCAAAUGAAAACGAGCCAAUCUCCACAUCCCACUUAAUUACAGAGCCCUUUGUGUAAGCUUUCCUACCCAAAGAGUCUCUCCAACAGAAUGCUUCCACUUUAAUUUCUAAAGAAAAUAGCGGAACCCUAGCAUCAACCAAAUCACAUCAAUAUCUAAUGCCAAUCAACAGAUUAAGACCUAAUGCACUCGUAUUCGUGCUCUGGAAGGACAAAACAUUACCUUUCGUUGCUAUCCCCCAUCCGCGGCGCCCUGCGCUGCGCCCUGCGCGGGGGCACGUCUGCCAUGGACAUGCGCCCCUAUUCCAUUGCCUCCCCCUGCGCCGCCGUCGGGAUCGUGGCACCGGAAUCGCCGCCGCCGCCGCCGCCGCCGCGCCUAGGGUUACGCUCGAGAGAGACAGAGAGGUGGAGAGCGAGAAUGAGUCAGGGGCGGGGUGGAGACGGCGUUUUUUGCCGCGCCGUUUAGAUGGCUCACGGCGACGGGCACAUACGGUCGACCGUAUGCCACGUCGGCUUGCAAGCAGGCCCAAGCGUCGUUCUACCGUAUCCAAUGGCAUAUUUCAAAUUUUGCAAGAAUUGUAAUGGUCCGCUUCAGGAUACCUGAAUUAUAAUGGCAUAUUUCAAAUACUUUGAAAUUGUAAUGGCACCGUUCAAAAAAACCCAAAUAUAUACUUCCUCUGUCCCUUUUAUUUGUCGUCAGUGGUAUGCGUAUUAUAAAUUUGACUCGAUUAGUAGAAAAUACAUAUAAUAUUUAUAUCUUUAAAUAAAUUUAUUAAAAAACGAGAUCUAAAGGUCUUUCCAACGAUAUUACUUGUGUACUAUAAAUAUUGUAUAUUGAGAGUUGGCCUGGAGCAGUUGACUGUAGGGAAAAAAAAUGAAUUGCAAAUUGCAUUGUCCUAGCUAGCGUCCAUCUUUGAUUAUCCUUGCACAGAAGGUAAAUGAAUUGCAAAUUGCAUGGUCCUAGCUAGCGUCAAUCUUUGAUUAUCCGUGCACAGGUGAGAGGAUUUUUUUUUAAAAGCCUCUAGUCUGAAUAUAGAUAUAGAAUCUGCACUACUAUCUACGCUUCUAGCAAAAUUCGAACUCGUGAACGGUGGCCUCCACAGCUGGAGCGCUCACCAACCGAGGUACGGCUCGGUCCCCAGAAGGUUUGAGGAGCCAUUUUUCCAUGCGACGCACAAGUAGUACGCCCAUGUGUCCACCUCAAUAAUUUGCCGGACACGUCCGCUAGGCCGCUGGGUUGCAUUGCAUCGCAUCGCAUUGCAUGCCGCGGCAAGAUCCACGUUCCCGCGUACUACACGGUUUGUUCGAGACAUCCACAUCCACAUCCACAUCCUACCCCACAACGCGAUGAACAGGAACAGACAUGGGUGCUUGGUCCCCAUCUGCAAAUGCUCUGUACGUAUACCAGCUCGGCAACGCGCGAACCACGUGGAACGUGAACAGUAAACCAAGAACAGAAAAAGUGACCGAGCAGCGUUGCACAGUAUCCGCACACUGCUGAAUAGUGUUGGCAACGUGUCAACAGUGUGAUGAAUUAUGCUUAACAGUGCUUUGGUGCGCUGAGAGAGCAAGGAUUUAGGCCUGGUUUAGAUGAUUUUUUUUCUUAAUCUUGACACCGUGACACUUGUGUUUGCAUUUGAUAAUUAUUGUUCAACUAUAAACUAACUAGACUUAAAAGAUCGGUCUCGCAAAUUAUAAGUAAAUUGUAUAAUUAUUUUUUUAUCUAUAUUUACUGUUCCAUAUAUAUGCUAUAGUAUUUGAUGGGAUAGAGAAACUUGAAUUUUUUUUUGAUUUUUGGUUGAAGUGAACAAUGCGUUGUACUGCUUCCUUUUUAACUAGAUAUAAAUAUUGUCCAAUCAUGAAUUAAUUAGGAUCAAAAGAUUCAUCUCGUGAUUUAUAGAUAAACUAUACAAUUAGUUUUUAUUUUUUUUAUAUUUAAUGCUUCAUGCAUAUACAAUAAGAUUUGAUAUGAUGGAAAAACUUUAAAAAAAUUGGUUUUAAGGUACUGAACAAGGCAAGAUUGACGUCACAUGGUGGUCCAACAGACGUGUAUCACGCCGUAUCGGCCUCGUUUAAUUUCAAAAAAAAUUAAAUUUUUUGUUGCAUCAAAUCUUUAGACAUAUAUAUAAAGCAUGAAAUACAAACGAAAAUAAAAACUAAUUAUGCAGUUUAUCUGUAAUUUGUGAGACGAAUUUUUUAAACCUAAUUUAUCCAUAAUUAAAUAAUAAUUAUUAAAUACAAACAAAAUACUACCCUAGCCAAAACCAAUAAUUUUUACGAACUUGUUUCUUUUAGCAAGGCACACUAUAUCGAUCUACCUAUCAGCCGGGGACCGGGGUGUCUUGGCAUUGCCUAUUUGGAUCUUGUGGCAUCGCAUAUUUUUGCAGGCUUUUUAUUUGCAAACAGACACUUAAAUCGGGGGUAAUAUGAAAGUACAACAACAUCACCUUGCAUUGCAUUAUUGGCGGGGUUUUCUUAGGCUCGCCAUCAACAUUAUUAGGAUCAAGGGUUAUCAUCACACUUCAUGAAUUUUUUAUACCCCGAUGCUUUGAACUCAUCUGGACACGCUUCCAAGUUUUCGCACUCUCAUCGAGAUCGACGGUACAAUUAUCAUGUCAUGCAUCUAAAGCCAAAGGCCGUACUCUCAUUGAGGUAGACGGCAACAUUAUCAUGUGACAUGCAUCUAAAGCCAAAGGACAAAUGAUGAGUAUGUAUGUCGCACGAGGUUCAUGCAUGGGAGCAUCUUCUUUAUGAGAGGCAAAGACGUUCAUGCAUGGUAUCCAAUCGUCUUGUCACGGCUAAGGCCGUGUUUAUAUUGAAGAUGAAAAUUUUUUGGGUGUCACAUUAUCGGAAGAAUGUCGAGAGAGGUUUUUAGAUACUAAUAAAAAAACAAAUUACAUAGCUCGUCAGGAAACUGCAAGACAAAUCUAUUAAUUAUGUAUAAUUAAUCUGUCAUUAGCACAUGUGGGUUACUGUAGCACUUAACGCUAAUCAUGGAGUAACUAGGCUUAAAAGAUUCGUCUCACGAUUUUCAACCAAACUGUGUAAUUAGUUUAUUUUUUAUGUACAUUUAAUGUUUCAUGCAUGUGUCCAAAGAUUCGAUAGGAUGGAUGAAAAAUUUUUGAGCAGUGAACUAAAUAGGGCCUAAAAAAAGUUUUACUACAGCAACUCUAAGAGACUGGAGUAUUUAUGUUUUUCUUAAUUUAUAGGAGUACUCUCUCCGUCCACAAAUAAGUGUACGUUUCGUUCUCGAAGAGUUAAACUUUUUUAAGUUUGACCAAAUAUAUACAAAAACAAACUAAUAUUUUAUUAUAUAUAAUAUGUAUCAACAGAUUGAGCGUGAAAUAUACUUUCAUAAUAUACUUAUUUGUAGAUACAACUAUUGAUAUUAUUUGAUAUAUUUCUAGUCAAACUUUAAAAAGUUUGACAUCUCGAGAAGCGAGAUGUGUAUUUAUUUGUGAACGGAGGAAGUAGAAAUUUUGGUCAAAAAAAUAUCCUUCAAUAACCUAUAUAAUUAGAUCUCCAAAUAGAGACAAUCUCUUUUCCGAAAUUCUCGCUAGCCAAAGAUAAAGAGUAAGGAUAACUCAGAGUGUGCACAAUAUAUAGAAAAGUUAUUGGAGGCCAGGUACAGAGAUAUAUAGAAAAUAAUUUUUACUUAAAUGGCUCUUUAAAUAAUAAUUUAGAAAGUAAUUUUUACAAAUACUCUUGGAGAUACUCUCAGAGGCAGCUAGAUUGGAUUUACACUGCUUUGCCUGACUGUAUUUGUAUGUUUCUAAAAAUCAGCAAUUUCUAUCUCUGGAAAUCGAUUUGUACAAGAAAGGCAAAACCCGCUGCCCCUAGAGAUCAAAAUAUAGAGGCAAAUUGUUGGAUGAAAUCCUAACCGCCCCUAGAGAUUGGAAUCUAGAGGCCGGCAUGCGAAUGCAUGGGAUCAAACUCAAGACCUUAAGCUUUCUUCCUUAUCACUCCACCCCCAAAGUUAUUUCACUUGUGAUCUAAUGAUUGAUCCAUGUUUUUAUUCACUUUAGUGAGUAUUAUAAUUAAUAUUUUAGAGACCAUAAAUGAAAUCGAAAAAGUUUGAACCCAAAAGUUUUAGAUCUCGUGAAGUACUACAACUUUGCUUUAGGUCAUCUUUUUAUCGAAGUCGUUUGAAAAAAUAAAGAAUAUGAAUUUAAAAAUUAAAACAAAAUUUACAUAUCCUAAACAAUUUGAAAUGGAAAAAGUCAUCAAUUAAUAAAGUUUUCUUUACCUGACUUGAUUUGGAAAAAUUAUGAAUUCUAUUGUGUUGUACUAGUUUUUAGAGGCAGACUAAAUUGCCAACCUUCUCUAGAAAUCCAAUUCUAGAGACAGGUGGAAUUUUCAGCCAUCUAGAAAUGACUAAAUUUUUAAAGAAUGUGUCUAGAAAGCUCAAUUGCCUCUAAAAAUGGUCAUUUGAGGUGGUUGGAGUCCAACCACUUGUAACAAUUGAUUUUUAGGGAGACGGAUUGGCUCAAAAACUAUUUUUCAACAUGGUUCUUAAUAAUCUCCAACUAACAAGAAAGGGGCCUUCAAAAACAAUUUCUACAGUAGCGCGUCCACCUUCAACUGCUAAUAAGAAAUUAGACAUCCGACGUGUUUACGAAGAAGAUAAGAUUCGCGCGUCAUAUUACAUUAUUGGUACAGCAUUAUCUUACUGUUACGUACUCAUCUCGCCAAAUAAUUAACGAGUAGUGGCUCACGUUUGAAAGAUCUUCAGUCUUCAGUUCAGAUGGUCAGGCGGAAAAUAUUGACGGCCAAGCCCAAAGGGUCUUGAUUACGUGUUCAAUCCAGCGUUUAGACAAACGCAAUCCUAGCUAGUGCAGCACGUCGAUCUGUGGCGCGGCGUCCGGCCAGUGGUUUUUAUAUAUAUCGAAUCUCGUCUUCCAUCCCUAAAUCAACUGAUGCUAUGAUGGAUUGAUUGACGACUUGACUUGCAGGAAAAAAUGAACUGAUUGUCCUAGAGCUAGCGCCAAACUUUGGAUAGAUUCUCUGUUUUGCACGGUAGGUGAGGAACUGGACUGGACGUGCUUAUUGCCAUUUUUCCAAUGCGACGCACGAGUUCUGUGCUGUGCUGGGACGUACGCCCAAGUCUUUAUCUCCACACACGUACUCUGGACACGUCCAUUAGUGGUUGCUGCCAUGCAUGCAUGCAUGUCGCGGCAAGAUCCACGUUCCCGUGUGUACGAUCGUUCGAAAUGUUCCACGUCCUAGGCCUACCGCGAUGAAUGGGAAAUGUAGGGGCAACCCGAGAGACACAUGGGUGCCAUAUAUGCCCUUUUUUUUUAAUGAAACUGGAGGGGCCAAAGCCCCUACAGGUCUUUAUUGAAGAUAAUAAACAGAGGGUACAGAGUUAACCAAAAAAAACACAACGAAAAACUGAAAAGAAAACUGAAACUAAAAAAAGAGAGUUAAAAGACAAAGAAAGAAGCCAUAUAUGCCCAUUCGGUCUCGUCUGGGUCUCUGGGAUGUGUAUUUGGUUAAACCGAGAACUGAUCGGUGUGGUUUCUCAGUAUAUAUAUUUUGUUUGUAAUAUGAUUCGAUUAACCAAAAAUGAAGUCCGCCUUAAAUUUGUGUGCAUAAAGCAUUUGGAGACUGAUCGGUGAGGUAGUACCGAUGAACGCACCAAAAGAUCGAUCAACACAAAUCAGAAAAAAAAUUUAAGCACAAAAUUGGCAGGGAUCCACAAAAAUUACAUUAAAGAUCAAUACUAAUAAUUUGUGCACAAAUCAAUAUAGAUUUGUAUGAUUGAGUUUGUGUGUGGUUCAGCUUCUGAAAAGCGUUUCUACUACCAAAAAGCAGAAACCCAACCAAAUAGGUGGAACUAGAAGUUGGUUUUACAAAAGCAGAAUCCAUUUGUGUAGUAUAACUUUCGCAGCACCUUAGACCCUGUUUUUGGCUUUUGGCCUUUUGCUUUUCAAAAUGGUGGAAAUAGAAAGAUAUUUCAUGGUUGUUUCAAGGGAUAGAAAGAGAGGGUAAGUUUAAUAGUUGUUUUAACCAAACAUCUGAUCGCCACAAAGCUGACAACUUUUUCAUAACUCAUAGCUCACAAUAGUUUUUCCACAACUCACGGCUGAACCAAACAUAGCAAAGUCAAAGAAGAGGUUAGCCGCGACUGCCCUUGCCCCUUGCGACAGCCAUGGUUGUUUCUAAACCAUAAAUUACAAAACAUAUUUAAAUAACCAUAAAUUAUGUAUAAAUAGAUGUUUUUGAACCACACACCUAUCCUAUCCUAUCCUAUCCUAUACUCUUAUAAAGGAAAACUCCACUACCAUAUUUCUCUAUGAUUUUAUAAAGCCACGUCAUCAUGGGGGCCCUACCAAUUUUCUUAAGCCAUAUCACCCGAUGGCCACCACCCUCUUAUUCUUAUCCCAGUACUCACGCAAAGGCUUUAGCAAGCCUGCACGAGGCCAACAAUCAUUUGCCUCCUCUAUUCCUUCAGAACACGAAGUGGACAGGCAUUACAACAAUCGAGUCAUGUCCACUGAAUGUAGCAUGCACCCCUACAUCUUCCCUGCCAUCACUGCUCAUCUGUUAAGUGAUCGUAUAUACAAUUAACCCCAAGUAAGGACGAGUCCUCGCCAAACUUACCACCACUUCCUCCCAGUUCGAUUCAGAUCUUGAUAGCUUCAAUUGGUUCUCUCCUGUGGCAUCGGCAAUCAUCCCGCGCGGACGUCCUCUGGAUGCCGCGGUCAGUGCUGAUGCAGAGGUAGCCGGGGAAUUCACCAUUGCAUCAUGCGGCCAUGGAGGAGCAGUCCCGCCCAUCCACCUCCGUGCAGUGUGAUGCCCGAGAUGGCCACGAUGGAGGCACGUCGAGGUGCUCCAACUCAGAGGUGUGCAUGCUAUUGCACUCAGUGACUGCCUGUAACCUCUCGCGCUGACCGGCGCUGAUGCGCGCAAUGCUCCUGCAGGCCGCCACUGCUGCCGUUCUUGCCUGUGUCCUCCAUGCACCGCCCACAGGUGCAGCCCACUCAUCUCUGUGCUGUGUAUUAACUCGCAAUAUAUACUCUCAUCCACACGUUAGUGACCCUGUUCUCUUUUGAUGAAGUUAAAGAUUGAAGAUCAGAGUGGUGCCUCUCUGCUGUUUUGCGAGCUAGAGUGAUGCCUUUUAUUUAGUUCAUUUACGAUGGACUACUGAUGCAUAUUUAAAUCAAAUAUUAGUAGUCAUGGUACAAAUAUAUCCCCCUUGGUCCGACAUUUAAUUUAAGUUCAUAUAGUUUUUUGUCUUUAGUCACCGCUGACAAAUUUUUUAUAAAUUUGUUCUCUACUUAUAUCGCAUAAUAUAAUUAUUUAUAUACCAUCGCAAUUCCUUACACUUUAUUUCUCCUAACUCAAUUCAAAUAACUUUUGCAUUUCCGCAGCAACACGCAGGAGAGUUCACCUAGUAUUAAUAUGUUAAAAACUAACUAAGAAGACGAUGAUAUUCCUAGUGCUUGAUAUUCAUUUGGAGUAAGUAAUGAUUAUAAGGCUCAAAUUACUCCAUCCUAGAUUCACUGUAAGCUUUAUCACGAUCUUGACCAACAUGGUACAUGUUUCGAUGACCUUGAUGCCAUGGUACUAUUUAAGAGCACAUGGUCUAGAGCCUAAAAUCUUUUAAUUUUAUAGAAUACAAAAAAGAGAGUUAAUAAAAAAAAUAUACUUAUCACAAAUGUUUUAACUUAAUUCAUCAUAAAAUUUUUUUGAUCCCGUACAACUUAGAUGCACACAACCCACACACUCACAACACAUGGGUACUCUGCUUUUUAUGGAAAAAAAAAUCAGGAAGCACUCUAGCCUCCAGUGUCGAAUGUGCAUGUACCCUACUCUUUAUGGAAAAAAAAUCUAGAAAAUAGAUAUGAACACCAGGGUUUAAACCCUGAUGGGUGUGUCUCACUGGACUGCCCUUACACUAGACCAUAGGCCCAUUCACAUUCGGAUAAAAAUUUGUAGUAAAUAGUAAUAAGAAAAAUAAAAAUGGAUAUCCAUGAUGCUAUGAGAUAUGGAUUGUAACAUGAGCCACCAUAAUUUAAUAUAAGAUUUGAACAAAAUGCACACCGAAGAUACAAGCAAGUGCCAGCAGAGAGAAAAAAAACUACGAAUUUAGAUGAAAAAUAUAAACAAAGAUAAAAGUGUACUCCCUCCGUACCCAUAAAACAAGUCAUUUUGGAUAAGGUUUGGGUCAAACAUUGGGAACGUAAAUCAUAAAUAACUUUUAAGUUAUUGAGUUUGAAAAUAUGAAAACCAUAUGAAUAGAUUUGUCUUCAAAAAUACUUUCAAAAAAUAUAUCUAUACCACUUUUUGAUAAAUAUUUUUAUAAAAACAAGAAGUUAAAGUUAGACUUUGGAGACCGUGUCAUUGUUCAAAACGACUUGUUUUAUGGGUAUGAAGAGAGUAUAUAUUAACGUAAGUAUUUUUAGUUAUAUAUAUUAAACAUGAAUAUAUAUCUAAUGCUUAUGUUAUGACUCAUAAGAUUUAAGUCUGUACUUGUGCACGAGUUGGUAGACUAGAGGGUCCUGAGUUGAUUUUAGGUUCUGCUCCAUUCAAAAAAUAUAAGUUGUUUUGACUUUUAUUGGUUUUGUUUUAUAUUUAGACUUAUGCUGUGUCUAAUGCAUUGUGAACUAUAUGUAUUACUAAAGAAGCCAAAAUAGCUUGUAGUUUACUAUGGAAUAAUUAGCCAAAGUUUUUUUCCACCCACACCAAACCUUGCAAUGGAUACACCAUGUGACCAGGAUACUCGCUUCAUUAUUGGGAAACCAAAAGGAAAUAUUACAAGCAUCCAUGAUAAGGGCUUAUUUAGUUGGGGAGAGAAAAGUUUUUGGAUGUCACAUCGGAUGUUUCGUGGGGUAUCGGAAGGGAUAUUCGGAUACUAAUAAAAAAAUUAAUUAUAUAACUUAUCUGGAAACUGCAAGAUGAAUUUAUUAAGUCUAAUUAAUUCAUCAUUAGGCUAAUCUUGGUCUAACUAGGUUUAAAAGAUUCGUCUCGCGAUUUCCAACCAAACUGUAUAAUUAGUUUAUUUCUAUCUAUAUUUAAUAUGUGUCCAAAUAUUUGAUGGGAUGCAUAAAUUUUUUUGAGUAAAGUCCACCACCGGUCCUUAAACUUGUGCUGUCGUGUCAUCCCGGUCCCUAAACUCACAAAUCGAUUGUUUAGGUCCUCAAACUUGUUCAUCUGUGUCAUCUCGGUCCCUAAACUUGUUCAAUUGUGUCAUCCCGGUCCCUAAACUUAGAAAUCAUCCGUUUAGAUCCUCAAAGUUGUUCAGUUGUGUCAUCUCGGUCCCUAAGCUUGGUUUUGAAUCUCAUCUGGGUCAAAACAAAGCGAUCUAACAACUCUAUAUCAAAAAAUAAUUCAUAACUUUUUCAUAUGAACUCAAAUGAAGACAAAUUUUAUACCAAAGUUAUAGUCCUCAGCACAAUCUACAACUUUGUAGUUGAAAAGUUUUUUGUUUGAAGUCGUUUAGUGUUAUAAAAUUUAAUUUUAAAUUUUAAAUUUUAAAAUCUAUAAACUUAUAAAAAAUAUUUUGGGAACUUAAACGAUUUUAAUUUAAAAACUUUUCAACUGCAAAGUUGUAGAUCAUGUUGCUGCCUACAAUUUUGAUAUAAAGUUUAUAUUCAUUUGAGUUCAUAUAAAAAAGUUAUGAAUUAUUUUUCAAUAUAGAGUUUUUAGAUUCGUCCUGUUUUGACCCAGAUAAGACUUAAAAACAAGUUUAGGGACCGGGAUGACACAACUGAACAAGUUUGAUGACCUAUAUGAGAGAUUUUUAAGUUUAGGGACCAGGAUGACACAACCGAACAAGUUUAGGUACCUAAACGGUCAUUUUGCAAGUUUAAGGACCGGGAUGACACAUCCGAACAAGUUUAGGGACCGCUGAUGGACUUUACUCAAUUUUUUUGAUGGAGAACUAAACAAGGCAUAAGUGGUAAUCGCCAGCACACCAAGGAGUAUGGCACAAUGUUCGUCGCGCACGUAAUUAUGAAUCUUUUAUUUAUUGCAACGCUUCUCAUUCAUGGAUAAAAUGAAACGGAUAACGUACGGGAAUCACCGCUAGCUAUUCCCUGCCUGCAUUCAGGUCAUCAUGCUCUGUCCUCAGGAAUCAGAGAUCAGAUGGAGAUGCUGUUGGGUAUGCCCUUGGCGGUGACGCCGGCGUUGUCGCCCUUCUUGUCGGAGGUGUUGGGGAAGAGCAGCGUGUAGGGGAACUGGGCCUCGCUGUAGCGGUUCUUGUAGCGUGGGUCCUUGUUCAUGGCCUCCACGCGUUUCUCGAUCUCGACCAGCCGCGCCCCGAACCGCCUGAACGCCUCCUGCGCCUUGGCGUCCGACGUCCACUCCUUGGUGUCGCGCUGGCCGAGGUACACCUCGUCGGAGGAGUGGCUGGACAGGAUCUCGAGCAGCGAGAUGCCGACGACGGCCUGGAACUGCGUGGUGAUGGAGCGCAAGAAGAACUUCUCCGGGUUCUCCUCCAGCUCCGCGUACUCGUCGGUGCCUGGCACCGGCAUCGGCCGCCGGCUCACCGACGGCCGGUUCGGGUGGUACCCGCAGUACGGGUACUGCCCGAAGUUGACGGCGGCGUGGAGCGCCGACGCGAUCCAGAUGAUGGUGGUGCAGGCCUUGACGAGCUCCGCCACCGUCUCCAUCUUGGGCCACCAUGGCUCGUCCUUGAGGUCGGCGUGCCCGACCUCGCGCGCCUCCUUCCACCAUGCCUGCAGCUCCACGUCCGCCUGCAGCACGCCGUCGUUGGGGUAGUAGAUGCCCAGGUACUCCGUCACCCACUGCUCGAUCGCGUGCCAGACGGCCAGCCCGUCAGACGCGUACGGGUAGUCCUCGAUCAGCAGCCGCACCUUGUACGGGCUCGACGGAUCUGGAACGGCCAUGCCUCUGCAUUGACAUUGCAGCAGGACAGGACGAUUGUUGAUUUAACUGUUACUCCGUAAUUAUUGUUAAUUGCUUCGUCGAUUACCGUUUGAUGAGGUCGUCGGGGAGGGCUUGGUCGGCGAAGUUCCAGGUGGCGUAGACUUUGGAGGUGAUCUCGAUGGCGUACUUGCGCGGGAAGACGGUCAUCUCGAAGAUGCCGCCGGCGUUGAUGAGCUUCUGUCGAGCGAGUGCGUUGAUGUUCAUGGUGUCGCGGUAGUGCGGCAGCAGCAGCCUGUGGACGGGGUGCGUCACGCUGAGCUGCCGGUUGGUGGCGAUCACGAAGGGCUCCAUGACGGCGUGCGUGUUGAGCCAGUGGCUGACGCCCUGGUGCCAGCAGUAGUCGUUCACGUUGACGUAGGCCUUGGCCAGGCGCCACACCCACGCCUCCGCGCCGGCGGCCGUCGGCGGCGCCGGCGUGUACACCGUGCUCUUCGCGGCGGUGACGUCCCGGACGAGCUCGGGGAGGCUCAUCUCGAUGGCCACCGGCGCGAGCGUGCCGUUGCCGCGCAGGAACAGGAGUGUCCGGGUGGCGUAGAUGAAGUUGUCGUCCAGGCUGUUGACCUCGAUCAGGAACGGCAUGUAGUGGUCGUGGUGGUCCAGGAUGUAGAGCCGGUUGCUGUCCAGCGCCUCCUGCACGGUGAGGCCCUCCAGGCUCCCCGCGAUGUGCGCCUCGGUGAUGGUGCUCGUCUGGUCGCCGUACUUGCUCGGAUCAAGGGUGCUUUUCGGAGGAAACUCCUGUUUGAUGAUCAUCCAAGACGCAGGAUAAUAAUGUUACUACUUGGUUGCCAUGACACUGAAAUCAAGCAAGACCGCCCAUGGUGUUUAAUUAGCUAGGCGCGCCUCCACAGUCCAUCCACUCACCGUCAGACGCCUGAUGAUCAGGGGGUUCACGCCGGCGAGUGUCUCCCUUGCGAACUCCUCGUCACUCAUCCAAGCUUUCUUGUCCUCUGCAUUAAUUUACAGGUAUGUAAGGGACAUUUUGCCCAAGCCAGAAAUUAACGAUGAUUCAUCAGCGAUCGAAUGCAAUUUAUUAAUUAAAACCUUUGAUGAUUUGGGGCAUGGGGAGUUUGAGGACGUAGUCGCCGCCGGCGGGCAUGAGGUCCUUGACCAUCUGAAGGGGGAACUGCUUGCGGAACUCCUCGAGCGCGGGGAUGUCGGGCAGCUUGAUCCCGCCCUCGUACAGCUGCAGGAUGUCCUUGAAGGAGUUGAACUCGAGGCCGAGGAAGUAGCCUUGGAGGAUGGGCACCAGGCCGUCGGCGAACGCCUUGAUGGUGUAGCCGUAGAAGUCGGAGUUCUUGAUGUGGCCGAACCGCUCGUCGCGCGGCACGUAGACGUCGCCGUCGACCAGCGUCAGCCUGCUCUCGCUGCUGGGGUCUGUCAGCGUCGGCUUCCGGCCCGUGCGGCCGCGGCGAGGGUAGGGGUGGUCCUUGGAGCCGCCGAGGACCGGGCGCGGGUUCCCGCCGUCGGGGUUGCCGAGGUCGUUGUAGACGUCGUAGCGGUAGACGCGGUCGUGCUCCUGGUAUGGCCCCUGCUGGUCGUCGCCCCUCAGGUUCCGGAGCUCGUCGUCGCGGUAGGGCUUCAGCGCCGCCGGCAUCUGGCUGGGCAGGUACGUCUGUUCGUGUGUAGAGGAUUCAUGUCAAGAGACAGGUAGCUGAAGCUCCUUGGUUUGCUGACGAACAUUGCAAUAAUGGGCGGCGCGGUACUCACGUCGUUGGAGAAGAAGACGCGGUUGUAGCGGUACUUGGACUGCGGGUAGAUCCAUGAGUUGGCGACGAAGACGACGGUGCCGUGGCCGGGGACGUCGUCGAGGGUGAUGGUCUUGAGGAAGAACUCGGAGGCGUGGUUGUUCUUGACGAUGAUGGCGCCUGGCACGCCGUGCUUCUCCACCUCCCAGUCGAAGGUGACGCCGAACUUGUUCUCGCCGGACAGCAGCGGCGGCGGUUGCAGCAGCCACUGCUCCAGGCUCGCCUCCGCGCCAACCUUCCCGCGGUUCCCGUUGUCUGCACGCGCCGGUCAGCGUCAGCGUACGUCAACGUGUAAAUGUACCCCUACCGUAGAUAUUAUUAGUAAUAGUAGUAUACUAUAAAAAGUAAUUAUGCGUUCUUUGUCUAAUAAGCUCUAGAUCCGGCCGGUUUGUACUAGAUUUAAAGUGGCUCGAUCAAUCGGUGUCGUUUUCGUCCAUGAUUGUGUCAAGAGCAUCCGUAGUUUUACUAGUUUUGUCGCUUUCUUUUUUUUUUUUCUGGAAACACGGCAUUGUUAUUAUUGACGCAUGUGCGAGAACAG
rnacentral:lncRNA from 1 species